GGGGGCGCACUGGUUUCGACGGGGGAAGCGGUGGCAGGAGGAGCGAGCCGGGGUUCCAUCAGCCCGUUAAACGGUGGAAAACUUAUAAUUGCCAAGAACGAAUACGCCUUAGCAGCUUAAUUGCUGUCUAACCUUCUACCCGCGCUGGGCCCGUGGCCCGGGCUAGGGGGUCAUUUAAACGGGCUGGCUUGAGACCAAUUCUCGGAGGGUUCAAGCAAGAUUCAUCGAGAUAGUUCCAACGGAGCUUGGCUGUAAGCGCCUGCGGAGCGAAAACUAAAUUACAGCCUGCGCUCGGAGAAACUCCUGUGGUCGGUCUUCCGGACGGUGGGUUCGAUUCCCCCCGCCUCCACCA
rnacentral:tmRNA from 1 species